rnacentral:rRNA from 1 species
CAGUCGCCACGGGAAUACGUAGGGUGCAAGCGUUAAUCGGAACUACUGGGCGUAAAGCGUGCGCAGGCGGUUUGUUAAGACAGAUGUGAAAUCCCCGGGCUCAACCUGGGAACUGCAUUUGUGACUGGCAAGCUAGAGUGUGGCAGAGGGGGGUGGAAUUCCGCGUGUAGCAGUGAAAUGCGUAGAUAUGCGGAGGAACACCGAUGGCGAAGGCAGCCCCCUGGGCCAACACUGACGCUCAUGCACGAAAGCGUGGGGAGCAAACAGGAUUAGAUACCCGCGUAGUCCCUGUCUCUUAUAC